AUGAACGCUGGCGGCGUGCUUAACACAUGCAAGUCGAGCGAGAAGUUUUGAAAAGAUUCUUCGGAUGAAAUUUAAAAUGGAAAGCGGCGGGCGGGUGAGUAACGCGUAGGCAACCUGCCCCAUACAAAGGGAUAGCAUUUGGAAACGAAUAUUAAUACCUUAUGAAACUUAACUAGUGCAUGCUAGGUAGGUCAAAGAUUUAUCGGUAUGGGAUGGGCCUGCGUCUGAUUAGCUAGUUGGUGAGGUAACGGCUCACCAAGGCGACGAUCAGUAGCCGACCUGAGAGGGUGAACGGCCACAUUGGAACUGAGACACGGUCCAAACUCCUACGGGAGGCAGCAGUGGGGAAUAUUGCACAAUGGGGGAAACCCUGAUGCAGCAACGCCGCGUGAACGAUGAAGGCCUUUGGGUCGUAAAGUUCUGUUCUAGGUGAUGAAAACUGACAGUAACCUAGGAGAAAGCCCCGGCUAACUCCGUG
rnacentral:rRNA from 1 species